rnacentral:lncRNA from 1 species
GUGCCAAUGACACUCAAGAAAAUGUAAGAACACCCAAGGAUAUAGGUUUCCUUGAGUGCCGAUGGCACCCAAUAAAAUGUAAAAACACCCAAGGAUAGAUAUUUUCUUGAGUGCCGAUAACCCUCAAGGAUAUGCAUGGAAAAAAAGAGAAACAAUCUCAUAUUUGUUGUAGCUGUGAUUCAAACUCAUGACGUGAGAUUCCAAGUGAAACUAACUUACCACUACACCACUUAGUCUUUUGUGACCAAGUGAAUGUUUCUUUCUUUUUGUUUUCACUUUAGCGGAUCUUGUAAUAAAUAUUUGAGAACCUAAAUGAUUUCAAAUGAAAAAAAUUUGAAUUAUAAAGUUUUGUAUCUCAUCGAGUACUAUAACUUUGGUUAGGUUGUAUCUCUAUCUGAGGUCAUUUGAAAGAUUCAAAAAAUUAAAGUUCAAAAUUCUAAUAAUUUAAAACAUAUUUUAUGGACCUCAGAUAAUUUCAAAUAAAAAUUUCAUCAACUAAGAAGUUGUAUAUCUCUUCGGGCUCUAUAACUUUGAUAUAAACUUUGCCUCCAUACGAUAUUAGUAUGUUACAUUUUAGCUUUAAAAUAAGCAGGCAUCUCAAGCUAAGUGUUAAUAUAUGCAUUCUCUAAUGCAUAACAACACAAAAUUAUAACUUUUAUUGGAUUAAUUUACUAACAACAAAUAUAUAUCAUUUUCCAAACAUGUCAAAGGAGCAUUUAUGUCUAUAAAAUGCAAUAUUCAACUAACAAAGAAUGCAAUGAGUUCACUAUAUCGGUGGUUAAGAGAAAUAUGACUAUAAACUGUUUUUUUCCUUGGCAGCUACAAUAAUUUACUUGAGGGUUUGCACCUAAAGAAACUAGAAUUUCCUUGGCGGUUUCUAGUUACACCCAAGGAAAUGUAAUUACCUUUAGUGGUUUAUAAUAACACUCAAGAAAAUAUAGAAUUACCUUGGCGGUUUAAACUAGCACUCAAGGAAAUACAGAUUUAACUUGGCGGUUUGGUUUAGCACUCAAGAAUAUGCAUUUUCUUGGGUGUUUUAUACAACCCUCAAGGUAAUUGUAUAUCCUUGGGGGUUUAAUUUCGCCCCUCAAGGAAAUUGCUGGCCCUCAAGGAUACUCAGUUUU